rnacentral:lncRNA from 1 species
UAAGGCAGGAUAAUUCGUUGAGAUAUUAAUUUGUGGUUUUAUUCCUACAAGAGAUGAAUCAGAAUGUGAGGCGUUAUCUGCAAAUUCUCCUCUCUGCUGGAUACUGCUAAGAAAGGAGAAAAGAGGAUGGACAUGAGGGGAAGCCAACUGCUAUGCUUGAUUGACGACACUCAAGCAGCCUAUAGACAGGCCCAUGUGGUGAAGAACUAUGACAACCAGAACUACCCCUGGAUUCCUGACCCACAGAAACUAUCUGAUUUGACUUGGAUUUCACUUACCAGUGAAAAAGACCAGUCUGAAAUGGACCAGAGAUGAGCAAUGGAGGGAGACGAAAUUUCUGAUGGCCUACCAGUUCCUGCAUCCAGCUGUUCCUGAAACCCAGCCAGGUCCCGCCUUUAAUAAUAGCAGGGGCAGCAGCAACAACAAACAUUUACUGAAUGCCUAUAAUAAAUCCCACCUUUUGCUAAUUUAGCUCCUCUUA